UGGGGAAUAUUGCACAAUGGGCGCAAGCCUGAUGCAGCAACGCCGCGUGAACGAUGAAGGUCUUCGGAUCGUAAAGUUCUGUUGCAGGGGAAGAUAAUGACGGUACCCUGUGAGGAAGCCCCGGCUCACUACGUGCCAGCAGCCGCGGUAAUACGUAGGGGGCUAGCGUUAUCCGGAUUUACUGGGCGUAAAGGGUGCGUAGGUGGUCUUUCAAGUCGGUGGUUAAAGGCUACGGCUCAACCGUAGUUAGCCUCCGAAACUGGAAGACUUGAGUGCAGGAGAGGAAAGUGGAAUUCCCAGUGUAGCGGUGAAAUGCGUAGAUAUUGGGAGGAACACCAGUAGCGAGGGCGGCUUUCUGGACUGCAACUGACACUGAGGCACGAAAGCGUGGGUAGCAAACAGG
rnacentral:rRNA from 1 species